rnacentral:rRNA from 1 species
UACGGGGGGAGCAAGCGUUGUUCGGAUUUACUGGGCGUAAAGGGCGCGUAGGCGGCCAGCACAAGUCAGUUGUGAAAUCUCCGAGCUUAACUCGGAAAGGUCAACUGAUACUGUGCGGCUAGAGUGCGGAAGGGGCAACUGGAAUUCUUGGUGUAGCGGUGAAAUGCGUAGAUAUUGGAAAGAACACCGAUGGCGAAGGCACUCUACUGGGCUAUUACUGACACUCAGAGACGAAAGCUAGGGGAGCAAAUGGG